GAGUAGAGGAUGAUGAUGGUGUCUCAGGAAUCCGGGAAUGAUCAGAGCCCUCAGAGGAGCGGAAGCGUUGCUGCAACCCAAAUGUCUCCGACCUGCCUCCAGCAGGGAUGCAGGAGAAAGUCCCUGGAGCAGAACAGGACCUGUUGGGAGGAGUGGGGGCCUCUUUGGACUGAAAAGGGCUGAUUUAAAGGGAUCUGCUGGCCAGCUUUUCCCUAUGUCAGCAUCUUCUCACCAGCCCAGAGCAAGGGCAUUGCGUGGCAGAUGCUCCACGGAGGAGGAGACACCUUGUCAUACAGCGAUCAGCUCCUGCAGUGGCUCAAGGCUGCUCCAUCCCUUUGCUCAGGGAUGUAACACAGCGCAUUGCUCAGCUUCCAGCAUCUACAGCCUAUAGAAACCUCCUGUGCCCCUAAUCUGUCCCUUUUCACCCCAAACUACCCCUCUGAUGCAGGACACCAAGAUGGAACCAAGCGGUCUGGGCACAUGCAGGAGGUCACUGAAGAUGUGCUGCCUUUGCCAAACGGGUCUUGUGAUGGAUACAGGAUCGUCUAUUUAAGUUUUAUAGGGGGUAUUUUCCCUUGCCAGGAGCUGGAGAAUAGAGGACCCGGGUACCAUCUGCCCAGGGGACUGGUGAAUCAUCCUAUUUUCCAGUUAACAGCACUUGUUUGCUUUGGGAGAUCUCCAAGUUAAGGGGGAAGAAAAAGAAAACCCAACCCAUGGAUCUUUUCCCACACAAUAAGAAAAAUGCCUUUUUUUUUUUUCCCCUACAAAAGCCAGUGUCAACUCUGCUUUUACUUAGCAGUGGGCUGGGUAAAAAUAGACAGUGAAGUCAUGAUGCCUUCAGAAGAAGAACCAGGUAUGGUCUGGGUGAGAGAAGUCAGGCUUGGGGGAAGAGGGAUAAGAAGCCAGCGGGAUGAGGGCAGGCAGGGUUUUAUCCCCGCACCGUGCUGGGACAAGGAGAGCUGCUCACCCCAGUGUCUUGUGGUUUCCCUGGAAUGCUGCUGGGAGAGCAAGGAGGCUCUUUGGUGGAUGCACCACAGUUUAAGCUGUUGUUCACGGGCUGGGGCUGGGGCUGUGGUCCAGCAAACACCAGGAGAUCAGCUCUUUGUGAGGCUGAGACACUUGAGGCACACUGGAAAGCGAGGGUAGCAGCAGGGAUGGGAAGCUGAGGGGUCGUGCUCUUGCUUUCUCCAGGACCAUAUUGCUGCAGCCUCCUCUCCCAGCUUUCUGCUCCCAUCUGGAUUUUCCUCCUGUUUUAUCACUGUGCCAAGGCUGUGAGCACACUGGGCUCUUUGGAAGGAGGCUGCGUGUGAGGGACUUUGAUGUCUUCUGCUCCAGGCAGGGGCCCUGGAAGCCACUUGGCCACCUGGAGCGUGAAGAGGUGCAGCUGAUGCCCACUCUUAGUUCUGCUGGUGGGAGGCUCCUGUGGCAAAGCCUUCACAGGGUUUUCCAUGCAGGGUCUGUGAUUCUAUGUCCAGAGCUCAGCCAGCC